rnacentral:rRNA from 1 species
CUUGCAAACUGGAGAUGGCGACCGGCGCACGGGUGAGUAACACGUAUCCAACCUGCCGAUAACUCGGGGAUAGCCUUUCGAAAGAAAGAUUAAUACCCGAUGGCAUAAUAGAACCGCAUGGUUUGAUUAUUAAAGAAUUUCGGUUAUCGAUGGGGAUGCGUUCCAUUAGGUUGUUGGCGGGGUAACGGGCCCACCAAGCCUUCGAUGGAUAGGGGUUCUGAGAGGAAGGUCCCCCACAUUGGAACUGAGACACGGUCCAAACUCCUACGGGAGGCAGCAUG